GAUGAACGCUAGCGACAGGAGGAAAAAAUGAAAGUCGAGGGACCGGCGCACGGGGGUGAAACACGUAUCCAACCUGCCCUUUACGCGGGGACAGCUUUUAGAAAGAAAUAUUAAUACAUGAUGUAAAGGAUCGGGAUGCGUUCCACUAGGUUGUUGGUGAGGUAACGGCUCACCAAGCCUUCGAUGGAUAGGGGUGCUGAGAGGACGGUCCCCCACGUGUGAAAUGAGGCACGGGCCAAACUCGGACGGGGUGGAGCAGUGAGGAAUAUUGGUCGAUGGGCGUUAGCCUGAACCAGCCAAGUAGCGGGAAGGAUGAAUGGUUAUGGGUGGUAAACUACUUUUAUAUAAGAAUAGGUAUUAUAUGAAUAAGGAUCGGCUAACUCCGUUCCAGCAGCCGCGGUAAUUC
rnacentral:rRNA from 1 species